GGACCCGCACAAGCAGUGGAGCAUGUGGUUUAAUUCGAUGCAACGCGAAGAACCUUACCCAGACUUGACAUGUAGUGGACCGCCAUAGAGAUAUGGUUUCUCGUAAGAGCCGCUACACAGGUGCUGCAUGGCUGUCGUCAGCUCGUGCCGUGAGGUGUUGGGUUAAGUCCCGCAACGAGCGCAACCCUUAUCGUUAGUUGCCAACACGUAAUGGUGGGAACUCUAACGAGACUGCCUGGGUUAACCAGGAGGAAGGUGAGGAUGACGUCAAGUCAGCAUGGCCCUUAUGUCUGGGGCGACACACGUGCUACAAUGGUCGGUACAAAAGGCAGCCAAGCCGCAAGGUGGAGCAAAUCCCAAAAACCGAUCUCAGUUCGGAUUGUCGUCUGCAACUCGACGACAUGAAGUCGGAAUUGCUAGUAA
rnacentral:rRNA from 1 species